rnacentral:rRNA from 1 species
AACGAACGCUGGCGGCAUGCUUAACACAUGCAAGUCGAACGGAGUGGCAGACGGGUGAGUAACGCGUGGGUAUGUACCUUCCAGUUCGGAAUAACCAUUGGAAACGAUGGUAAUACCGGAUACGGGGAGAGCAGCCCGCGUAUGAUUAGGUAGUUGGUUAGGUAAAGGCUGACCAAGCCAAUGAUCAUUAGCUGGUUUGAGAGGAUGAUCAGCCACACUGGGACUGAGAAACGGCCCAGACUCUUACGGGAGGCAGCAGUGGGGAAUAUUGGACAAUGGGGGAAACCCUGAUCCAGCAAUGCCGAGGAGUGAUGAAGGCCUUCGGGUUGUAAAGCUCUUUUAUCAGGGACGCGGUACCUGAUGAAUAAGCACCGGCUAACUUCGGGCCAGCAGCCGCGGUAAUAC